rnacentral:rRNA from 1 species
AUGAGUACACUUUAAAUCCUUUAACGAGUAUCCAUUGGAGGGCAAGUCUGGUGCCAGCAGCCGCGGUAAUUCCAGCUCCAAUAGCGUAUAUUAAAGUUGUUGCGGUUAAAAAGCUCGUAGUUGGACUUGUGUCCCACGCUGUCGGUUCACCGCCCGUCGGUGUUUAACUGACAUGUAUCGUGGGACGUCCUGCCGGUGGUGGCGAGUCGAAAGAUCGCGCCCCUGUGGUACAUGCCGCAGGUCGGUUGCGGUUCGUAGACGGACCCCGAUGAAAUCCUACCGCGGUGCUCUUAAACGAGUGUCGAGGUGGGCCGGCACGUUUACUUUGAACAAAUUAGAGUGCUUAAAGCAGGCCUGAUGCGCCUGAAUACUGUGUGCAUGGAAUAAUGGAAUAGGACCUCGGUUCUAUUUUGUUGGUUUUCGGAACCCGAGGUAAUGAUUAAUAGGGACAGUCGGGGGCAUUCGUAUUGCGACGUUAGAGGUGAAAUUCUUGGAUCGUCGCAAGACGGACCGAAGCGAAAGCAUUUGCCAAGUAUGUUUUCAUUAAUCAAGAACGAAAGUUAGAGGUUCGAAGGCGAUCAGAUACCGCCCUAGUUCUAACCAUAAACGAUGCCAGCUAGCGAUCCGCCGAAGUUCCUCCGAUGACUCGGCGGGCAGCUCCCGGGAAACCAAAGCUUUUGGGUUCCGGGGGAAGUAUGGUUGCAAAGCUGAAACUUAAAGGAAUUGACGGAAGGGCACCACCAGGAGUGGAGCCUGCGGCUUAAUUUGACUCAACACGGGAAACCUCACCAGGCCCGGACACUGGAAGGAUUG